UACGGAGGGUGCAAGCGUUGUCCGGAAUCAUUGGGUGUAAAGGGUGCGCAGGCGGGCGUCUAAGUCUAAGGUGAAAUCUUGCCGCUUAACGGUAAAAUGGCCUUGGAUACUGGACGUCUUGAAUCUAGAAGAGGUCGGUGGAAUUCGUGGUGUAGCGGUGAAAUGCAUAGAUAUCACGAAGAACAUCAGUGGCGAAGGCGGCCGACUGGUCUAGGAUUGACGCUGAGGCACGAGAGCGUGGGGAGCGAACAGG
rnacentral:misc_RNA from 1 species